rnacentral:lncRNA from 1 species
UUGGAAGACUGUACUAGCUUGCCAGAGGGAAUUCAGAGGAAACUAGAAUACUUUCCCAAAGAGAAGGAAAUGACGUUCAGAAGGAAGUUAUAAAAGAACAGAGGAGCACAGUCUGGAUUUCUGUCUUUCAACAUGAGAAAAUAAAAACUGAUAGAUUGUAUGCUGAAGUCCAUGCUUCUGUCACUCUCCAGUUUGUGGGUGAGAAAUGAAAGGGGCUAACUUUUCUUGCUGAUGAGCUACAUGCAUUUUGUAUGUUUAUAUGCAAAGCCCUACAGUCAUCCGGGAUGAAAAUGAAGGUGUCAUCUAUGAAGACAGGGUUUUCAUCUGUCUGACCCAAACAGUGGCAAUGUGGAUUACUCAUCAGGGAAAGCUGAUUCCAAGGAAAUAUGUGGAUCAUAAAGCAGGCACCAAUUUGUCACUGCAUAGUAAACCUUUGAAGAAAACACGUGUCUGGGAAGUACCAGGACGUAGUUUUGGAGGAGUACAAGCUCAAUGA